AUAAAGCUUCUGAGCUCUUGAUUGGUCCGCUAUUGGCACGACGCCAUUUUGUCAUGCAACUGCGCAGUUUCGAGCAUCAAUAGCGUCCCGUAUAUAAGCUGAACGUGACGUAAUGCGCUCUCAUUAACUUCCUCGACGCGGUGCAGUGCGGACGUAGUGUUGUGAAGUGUAACCAAGUUCUUCAGAAAUCUUUUAGGCAUUGUGCCUGAUCGGAUACAGUCCCAUUGCGUUUCGCGUGGGCCUGCAUCCGACGGCCGCCAUCUUGGUUGCCGCGGGGGCGUGCUCGGAGGUAACUACGAUAUGGGUUUGUAACGGUAUCAUGCAUUUUACUAGUUAAUUUAAUGUUUAAUUGUUAAUGAAAUGUUUCAGUUAGCUAUAUACGAUAGUCGAUUGGAAUUAAAAGUUUAUUCAUAUUGAAUAAGAAAAUUGUAACAUAUGUUUAAGUAUGGAAAUAAAUGUUUUAAAAAUGGCGUAGAAUUUAAUUUGUCUAUUUUGUAAUAUUUGAAAUUUCACCCAACGUGUAUUAUUCCAUGAGUCAUCGUGGACUUCGGAGACAAUGGCUGUCAAGGUGCGAGUUGCUGCGUAGUUUAUUGUGAAAGGAGAGAUGGCGUACGUGUCUCGGCUUUGCUGCCUUACAGCUGCCUCGAACAAACCCGCUACACGAGCUUAUACGGGGCCGGUACACAGUUCACAUAGGUAACGAUAGGUACCUAUAACCUACCCACUUGCGCAAUUAAACUUUAUUUAUAGGCCCUAGAGGGCCGUUAUGUGUUGUUAUUCCGAGCACAGAUACAGCUGACAAAAUGAGGCGCAAGUAAGACGGCUCGCUGCAUGCUGUCGUACAACUAAUAGCUGAUAUUUUAUCGUGCGGUAUUUGACUAAUAUGUAAGAGUAGGGUGAGUGCCAAUAACCUGUUUAUAUAAUGCCCGAUUUAGACUUGGGCUAGUAUGUGUUGACUUUUAAAUCUACACAGGCUAAGCAGUAUCACGGCACAAAUGCAAGUAAAAUUGGAGCUCGCAAGUUGCACAAAUUUCGUCUACAUAUUUUGUCCUGGCAUUGAGCGAUAAAUAUAAAAAUUGAAAACAAAAUAACUAGGUAACAUCUUAAACAUUCAUUAUAUAUAUAUAUAUUAUAUAUAUAUAUAUAUAAGCUGUAAAAUGGAUUAAAGACUGGCAUCAAAACCAUAAAUUAUUGAAACAAAUAUUUGAAAAUAAUUCUUGAGGCGAAAUCGAGAAACAAGUCAUAAUGGUAAGUUGUUAAGAUAACCAAACAGUAUUUAGUAUUUUUUCGUAGCUUUAACAUAAAUGUUGUCUGACAUUAAAUUAAGCACAGUCUGAUAUCAAAUUUCGACAAGAUAUACGAAACAUAAUUGACGCCAUCUUGAUUUGUUCGUGUACAAUUCACAGCUUUUUUCCUGGGUGCCGUGGUGAUAUCAAGACCAUUAUAUCGCUCCUUAGAGUGAUGCAUUGUGGACCUUCAAGAAGAAGGAAUCACUAACGCUCACGUCACCACGUCCCUAAAAGCAAGACGACUUAUUCUCUAACGUAGGCAAUAACCCUGAAUUAAGGUCAUACAAAGAAAAACGCGUGGUAAUAAAUAGGUAAGUGGAUAUUCCGUCAGUGGAAUCAUUGAUCCUUGUUACCAAGGCAAAAACUAUUGACCGAUUUCCGGAUUUAAUUAACACCUUUUCAAAAUAAUAACUGCGCUUAAAUGCCGUUGCAUACGGCGGUAGGUUAUAAUGAGGUUUUAGGUAAUCAUUUCAGGAACUCUUAAAUAAAUUAUUCACCAUAUCAUAAUCAGCUAUAUUAUGGAUAUGACUUUGCGGACUUAUACAUAUGCACACUUGGCAAAGAUGUGGAAUAUUUUGGGCAUAACUGUGUACCUGGCACCCAUUUUAUAAAUAUAAAAUCUAUCAUCAACCAACCAACCAUAUUCUAUCUGCUGCGAAUAAAUAUGCUAAAUGUACAAAUGAACUCUGCGAGAACUUAGAAAUUUUCAAUGCAAGUAAGAUUUAACACUGGUAUAUCUGACAAUCCUUAAUUCACACCACUACGAUCAAACAACAUAUUUUUUACAUACCGAUACUUAAACCAAAAACAAUUAUCAACAAAGAGAAAACCUAUGACAAUAUUGGAAAUUUUUCACAGAGAAGCCACCAAGGUAAUUUUUUAUGAAUAAAUUGCAUUUUUCGUUAUUUUAUUAAUCCCUAACAGUAAAACAAUCCAUAGCAGCUAAAUCUGCUAUUUAAUUUAUGCGACAUGUCGCCAUUAUUUUGUUAGCAUUGUUUAGGAAGCUGCAAUUGAAAAAGAGCUGGAUUUUUUCCUGGUUUUUUGGAAGUUGGCAUGACCAUAUAUGAUAAUUAUUGUCCAUUGGAUACAAAGAGCUGUGGACGAUUCUGCAUUGUCUUCAGGCUGGUUUGUGACUCGAUUUAUAUUCAAAUGCAUGGCGAUUAAUAUGCUUAUGAAAUUUAUAUUUCAGUCACAUAUCUUUUGGACAUACCUACCAAGCUUUGUCUUUUGCUAGGAUAAUGUGUUUCUUACAGGCCUAUAAUUUGAUGAAAUAAUAAUUAUUUAAGAUACAUAUUUUAAUAUAUAUGUAUGACAAGUAUUAGUGGUCAGCGACAAUUAAAAGAAUCCGAAAGAACUUAAUGUAAACAAAAAAUAUGCAUAGAUAUAACUUGAACAACAUUCUAAAUAUCUUGAACAGAAGAAUUGUAUAUAGGGACCAAAACUUCAAAAAAACCCUAAACAGAGGAGCGUGUUUUGGAAUUAAGGUAAAUCACACUGCGUAAAUUAGAAAUCGAUUUGUUUUAUAUAUAUUUUCCCAUAUCUUCUAAAAUUGUAUCUAGUUUUUUUAUAUUUUUAAUCAAAUAACAGGUGUAUUCAAUCGUAGUAUUGUAGUACACGGAGGACCCAGUUCUUUUCUUAGCAAUGGAUUGUAAAUGCAAUGAAAUUUAACACAUUUUAAUUUUAAUCUGGCCACCGAUAUUAUCUUUGUGAUGAGUUGUCAAUAUAGAUCCGCUGACAGUGGAUUUAUUUUUGCUAUUGUUUAUAAAUCUCAAGUAAAUUAACUCUAAUUAUUUUAAUUAUGAAGAUGAUUAUCUUAGAUCAAGGGUAAAAUUAUGUACUUCACUUUUCAGAUACUACCUUUUUUAAAGUAGAAAUCAAAUAAGUUGCUAGAAAACUGAUAAAGCUAUCUAUGACAUGAGCUCAUUUAAGAUACCACCAAUAAAAAAUCCACAAUUUAUUUAUGUACCUUACACAUUACAUAUUGUAUAUGGAUAGAUGCGAGAUGAAUAUACAACAAUAACGAUAAAAAUUAUCAGAAACUAAUAUUAAAAAUUGAAUGAAGUGAAAAGGCUCGUGUUGAGAAAUGAUAUUAAUUUAUGAUACCCUAUGUUGGAUAUGAAUUGUACCACGCUCACUUCGUUAAACACUGCUCCCCCUAUGGGUGGAAGCCACUGCCAUACGCAAUUUACGUCCUGAGCUCAGUCUUACCACACGCGCUCCAGGCCGUGAGCACCAGAUCUUGCCGUACGUGCUUUACGAAGUUGGUCCUAUUCCGGCACCAACCACCAUGCUGUAGGUAGAAAGCUAAAUUUGUAUAAAAAUAUGUCGACACGAACUGUCAUACAAAUUUGGUUUUCGACUUUCUACAUACACUACUGUUAAUGCAGCUUGACUAUGAGCCCUGUUACGGCACCAACCUCCACGCCGUGGUCACUGAUCUUGCCACAUACACUCUACGUCUCGGGUGCUAAAUCCUGCUUGACGUGUUCUACGCCGUGAGCGCUAGGACUUGCCACACACAAUCUGCGCAGUGGGCCAGUCUUGCCACACGUGCUCCAGGCCGUGAGUGAUCCUGCCAUAGGCGCUCUACGCUGUUGGUCCUGUUCCGGCACCAACCUCCACGCCGUGGUCACUGAUCCUGCCACAUGUGCUCUACGCCGAUGGUCAAGUUCCACCUACGUGCGCUCUACGCUGUGGGUGCUAGUACCUGCCGCACGCAAUCCAGCCACACGCGCUCUACUCUGAGGGCCUUAGCUUCGCUUCGAGCGCUCUGCGCUGUUGGUCCUGUUCCGGCACCAACCUCCACGCCGUGGUCACUGAUCCUGCCACAUCUGCUCUACGCCGAUGGUCAAGUUCCACCUACGUGCGCUCUACGCUGUGGGUGCUAGUACCUGCCGCACGCAAUCCAGCCACACGCGCUCUACUCUGAGGGCCCUAGCUUCGCUUCGAGCGCUCUGCGCAGUUGGUCCUGUUCCGGCACCAACCUCCACGCCGUGGUCACCGAUCCUGCCACAUGUGCUCUACGCCGAUGGUCAAGUUCCACCUACGUACGCUCUACGCUUUGGGUGCUAGUACCUGCCACACGCGCUCUACUCCGAGGGCCCUAGCUUCGCUUCGAGCGCUCUGCGCAGUUGGUCCUGUUCCGGCACCAACCUCCACGCCGUGGUCACUGAUCCUGCCACAUCUGCUCUACGCCGAUGGUCAAGUUCCACCUACGUGCGCUCUACGCUGUGGGUGCUAGUACCUGCCGCACGCAAUCCAGCCACACGCGCUCUACUCUGAGGGCCCUAGCUUCGCUUCGAGCGCUCUGCGCAGUUGGUCCUGUUCCGGCACGAACCUCCACGCCGUGGUCACCGAUCCUGCCACAUCUGCUCUACGCCGAUGGUCAAGUUCCACCUACGUGCGCUCUACGCUGUGGGUGCUAGUACCUGCCGCACGCAAUCCAGCCACACGCGCUCUACUCUGAGGGCCCUAGCUUCGCUUCGAGCGCUCUGCGCAGUUGGUCCUGUUCCGGCACCAACCUCCACGCCGUGGUCACCGAUCCUGCCACAUGUGCUCUACGCCGAUGGUCAAGUUCCACCUACGUACGCUCUACGCUUUGGGUGCUAGUACCUGCCACACGCGCUCUACUCCGAGGGCCCUAGCUUCGCUUCGAGCGCUCUGCGCAGUUGGUCCUGUUCCGGCACCAACCUCCACGCCGUGGUCACUGAUCCUGCCACAUCUGCUCUACGCCGAUGGUCAAGUUCCACCUACGUGCGCUCUACGCUGUGGGUGCUAGUACCUGCCGCACGCAAUCCAGCCACACGCGCUCUACUCUGAGGGCCCUAGCUUCGCUUCGAGCGCUCUGCGCAGUUGGUCCUGUUCCGGCACGAACCUCCACGCCGUGGUCACCGAUCCUGCCACAUCUGCUCUACGCCGAUGGUCAAGUUCCACCUACGUGCGCUCUACGCUGUGGGUGCUAGUACCUGCCGCACGCAAUCCAGCCACACGCGCUCUACUCUGAGGGCCCUAGCUUCGCUUCGAGCGCUCUGCGCAGUUGGUCCUGUUCCGGCACCAACCUCCACGCCGUGGUCACUGAUCCUGCCACAUCUUCUCUACGCCGAUGGUCAAGUUCCACCUACGUGCGUUCUACGCAUUGGGUGCUAGAACUUGCCGCACGCAAUCUACAUCGUGGGCGCAAGAACCUGCCGCACGCAAUCCUGCCACACGCGCUCUCUUUCGGAGGGCGCUAGUUUCGCUUGGAGCGCUCUGCUCUGGUCCUGUUCCGGUUGCAAGCUCCUGGCCGUGGUCAGAUCCUACCACAUGCGCUCUACACCGUGGGCGCUAGAACCUGCUGCACAUAAUCUACGGAGUGGGCCAAAGUCCUGCCACACGCGCUCCAAGCUGUGGCGCUAGAUCCUAACAUAUGAGCUCUACUUUAAGGGCGAGGCUUUCCAUCGAGCGCUCUACGCAUUUGAUUGUUACAGACGAGACACGCUCUACACCGUUGGCCAUUUAUUACCACACACAUUUAAUGCCGUUGGUAACUGAUCCUGGACACGAGAUCUUCGCCGUUGGCCACUGAUCCUGCCUCGCGCGUUCUACGCCGUUAACAGCAGAACCAGACAUUAAGCGCCCUACGCCGUUUUUGCCACACGCGCUUUUAACUAUUGUUACAGAUUCAGGAAGCACGCACUCUACGCUGUUGGUCACUAAUCCAGCCAUAAGCGCCUUACGUCGUUAGCACAGCACCGGCCAUUAGCGCUUCACGCCGUGGGCGCUAAAUCCUGUCACACGCGCUCUUCGCCAUUGAACCUGAACCAAGAACGCGAUUAUAACAGCUCCAGGCAACUCGCGCUCUACGCCAUUUGCCUUUAAUCCUGCCACAAACGCAUCUCGUUGGCAGCAGAACCAGCCUCAAACAUUCCAGGCCGUGGGCACCAGCUCUUUGCCAGGUUUUGAAAUUGUUUGAAAUGUUGUAUACCAUAAAAUCGCACGCAUCCUAACACUUCUUGCUCGUAAUUAGAACUAAUAAAUCUGCUAAUACUAUGUUUAAAUUUGAAAAUACUAAUAGGCUGCAGUGUUCAGUUUCGUAAAAAAAUAAUUAAUUUUGUAAGUUUGUAAAUGAACAAUGAUUAUUGAACCACGCUGGUAGAUCCAAGCAACACUAUGACGCUUAAUUGUUGGUUACUGGCACCCCGCAAUUGGAUAUUAUUGCAAAUACGAGGUGCCCUUUCGAGCUUCUGCAAGCAACUAUAGGAUGUACUGGAACGAAUGCUUCGCGAUCAUCAGCUAUGAGCUUUUGCAAUUGCGGGGUGCGUCUCGGCUCCUGCGACUACCGUGACUUCAGGCUCCGGCUACUGCGAGGUGCAUCUACGAGCUCAUGCGAUGGAUGCUUCUCUAAACUACGAUGAUUGACUGAGGUGAGGGAGUACAUGCUCCUGUGAGUGUGGGGUGUAUUUUCAGGCUCCACCGACUGCGGGAGUGCAUCACCGGAUCACAGGGACUGCGGGGCAUGCAUGUCCAGUCUCCGCUGACUGCGGGGUGCAUCUUCACGCUCCGCCGACUAUUGUUGUGUUUGACUCCGGCAGACUGCAGGGUGCGUCUUCAUUAUCCCGCCGGCAGCGGGGUGCAUCUCCAUUCUCCGCCGACUGCGGGUGCAUCUUCACGCUCCGCCGACUAUUGUUGUGUCGGACUCCGGCAGACUGCAGGGUGCGUCUUCAUUAUCCCGCCGGCAGCGGGGUGCAUCUCCAUUCUCCGCCGACUGCUGGGGUGCAUCUCCAUUCUCCGCCGACUGCGGGGUACAUCUCUAGGCUUCGCCAACUGCGGAGUGCAUCUACAGCUCUGUCUACUGCGGGGUGCAUCUUCAGGCCCCACCCACUGCCGGAGUGAAUCUCCGAAUGACGGGGACUGCGGGGCAUGCAGGUUCAGUUUCUGCUGACUGCGGGGUACAGCUCUGCAUCACAGGGACUGCAGGCAUGCAUCUCCAGCCUCCGCUGACUGCAGGGUGCGUCUUCAUUAUCGCGCCGGCAGCGGGGUGCAUCUUCAUACUCCGCCGACUGCCGGGGUGCAUCUCCAUUCUCCGCCGACCGCAGGUGCAUCUUCAGUCUGCCGACUGCCGGGGUGGAUCUCCAUUCUCCGCCGACUGCCGGGGAUGCAUCUCCAUUCUCCGCCGACUGUGGGUGCAUCUUCAGUCUCCGCCGACUGCCGGUGUGCAUCUCCAUUCUCCGCCGACUGCCGGGGUGCAUCUCCAUUCUCCGCCGACUGCCGGGGUGCAUCUCCAUUCUCCGCCGACUGCCGGGGUGCAUCUCCAUUCUCCGCCGACUGCGGGUGCAUCUUCAGUCUCUGCCGCCUGCCGGUGUGCAUCUCCAUUCUCCGCCGACUGCGGGUGCAUCUCCAUUCUCCGCCGACUGCGGGGUGCAUCUCUAGGCUUCGCCAACUGCGGAGUGCAUCUACAGCUCUGCCUACUGCGGGGUGCAUCUUCAGGCCCCACCCACUGCCGGAGUGAAUCUCCGGAUGACGGGGACUGCGGGGCAUGCAGGUUCAGUUUCUGCUGACUGCGGGGUACAGCUCUGCAUCACAGGGACUGCAGGCAUGCAUCUCCAGCCUCCGCUGACUGCAGGGUGCGUCUUCAUUAUCGCGCCGGCAGCGGGGUGCAUCUCCAUCCUCCACCGACUGCGGAUGCAUCUUCAGACUCCGCUGACUGCGGGUGCAUCUUCAUACUCCGCCGACUGCGGGGUGCAUCUCUAGGCUUCGCCAACUGCGGAGUGCAGCAUCAGGCCUCAACAACUGCGGAGUGCAGCAUCAGGCCUCAACAACUGCCGGAGUGCAUCUCCGGAUGACGGGGACUGCGGGGCAUGCACCUUCAAUGUCCGCCGACUGGUGUGGUGUCAGGCUCCGGCAGUUGUGGCAGUGCAUCUCCUGAUGACAGGGACUGCGGGGCAUGUCCCCGCAGUCAGCGGAGACUGGACAUGCUUCUCUAAGCGUGUAUGUCAAGGCUACGCUGACUCCUGUGACGAAGAGUGCUUCUAUUGAGCUUCAGCAGCUUUGAGCUCCUGCUACUGUUAUCUUCGAGAACUCGCGACAGCGGAAUGCGUCUGACACCGUAGGACUUCCCGUGACUACUGCGCGUUCGGAGCUCUGCUGAAAAUACAGGGUUAGCUUAUGCAGGUUCAGAGAUUCACAUUUUGUUACCGUAACAGUAGAAUGCUUUGUCGACCUCGUCGAAGUCCAGUUUUAAGAGACCUUUCAAGGUUUUGGCAGGCAAACUGGCUUAAAACAAAGCACUUAUUUUUUAAUUUUUGUUUGUCUGCUUUCUUGUAUUGUUUAUUGUGUGCUUGUCGCUAGUAUUUAAGUAAAAAUAAAUAUUGAAAAUUUUGUAUGUAUUACAUAAGAAAAAUAGUUUUACGCCGUUUGUCCACAGGCUAUUUAGGUCAAAACUCAAGAGUUCAUUGCAUUGCAUAUGGCUGCGAAGUAUUGCAAAACCAAUUUUUUACUGACUUAAUAUUAUGGAGUUUCAAAAAGGAACGUUUAUGUACAAUUAUUUUUUACAUUUUGCGGCUAGCGGGUAUAUCUGUUGCGCCUACAUAAAUGUCACGUAAGGCACAAAACUUGUUUGUUUUCAGGUAUCCAAAGUAUUUGCAAUACAAAAAGGCAUAUUUCUGAGUGAUCUGAUAACAUGGAUCGAUUGAAAUUUCAUCAGUUGAAAAAAAUUUAAAUCAUGAGCAGCAACUAUAACCGAUAACAUGAUAUUAUAUCUACAAAACUUGAGUAGGUAUUUCAGGCUAACAUCUUUUUCAGCUUAUUAGAUAAAAAGACAAUAUGUAAUUUAAACAACAUACAAACACAAAUUUAACCGUGUCAAAUAACGCAGCACAUGAUGGAGCAUAUUAAAAAUCCAUGAGACCUGCAAUUAUUUUAUGAUAAUAACUAUCUACUCUAAUAACUCAAUUGUGUUAUACUAUGUCCGACGCUGAAAAUGCCGUAUGAUGUAAAUACAAAACCUUACAGAGUAUAAACCUACACUAAUUUACUAUUGACAAAACAAAUAAAGGAAAUUUUGGAUACAUUUUAAGUUAAAUAACAUUAUGUUAAUAAUAUGCACCUGGGUCAAAGAUAAAAAUAAUAAUGGAAGAUAAAGACAAAGUGAAUCUUAUUACUAUUCAAGAUAUAAUGUUUUAAAUAAAAAUGAAAAGGUUUUAUCUCAAAGGUUACAAAAUUGUAUAUCAAAAAUGAUGAUUAAAGACUGAAUAUAAAUUACUAGGGGCCAAAAAUUCGGAUUAAAAAACAAAUGUAACAUACAUGCUGAAGAGACAUUAUCUUUUAUGACAAAGAUAAAGGCUGAUUUUUAAAUAUUAAAAAAUUAAGAUCCAAGAUGAACCGCGAAGAACCAAGUUGCACAGCGAAGUAAUUGAAAAACUAAAGAACGGCGAAGUAAUAAAGAAAACUGAAGAACAGUGAAGAUCCAAGUUGAACAGCGAAGUAAUAAAAAAUCUAAAGAACUGAAGAUCCAAGAUGAACAGCGAAGAACCAAGUUGAAUACCGAAGUAAUAAAAAAACUGAUGAACAGUGAAGAUCCAAGAUGAACAGCGAAGAACCAAGAAGAACAGUAUAAAACCAAGAUAAACAGCGAAAAACCAAUGAAAGACGAAGAGUGAAGAUGAAAAACGAAGACGAAAGAUAAAGAACGAAGAGUGAAGUUGAAGAACAAAGACGAAUAGCCAAAAAAAGACGAAGAUGACGACUGAAGAACGAAGACUAAAGAUGAAGAAGGAAGGUGAGCAGCGAAGAAAUAACAAAAGUCGAAGAUGAAGAGUGAAGACUAGAUGAAGAACGAAGACUGAAGAUGAAGAAGGAAGACUGGAGAUGAAGAAAGAAGACGUGAAGGUGAAGGACGAAGACUGAAGAAGGUGAACAGUGAAGACUGAGGUUGAAGAUGAAGAAGGGAGGUGAACGGCGAAGAAAUAAUGGAAGACCAAUAUAAAGAUGGAGAAAUGAAGGACGAAGACGAAGAUGGAGAACAAAGA